rnacentral:lncRNA from 1 species
GUUAAAAAAAUUUAUAUGGAAAUGUGAAAUGUAAUUAAGGGUAAGGGAAAAAAUAGAAAUAAAAAUAUGAAGGGGCUAAGAGGGUGGUGCGAGGUGUAAAGUGUUUGGGUGCAAAAAUUAAAAGUGAUCCGUCUCCAAAAUAACCAGAAAGGUGUGCGUGAUGAAAUGUGGAGGUGCAAAACGUAGUAUGCUUGAGUCCAAACUACAACUUAUAUGGGCGUGAGAAAACUAAAAGUGGGAUGCAGAAAGCAUAAGCUGGUCAGCCCAGAUUCCUUUCCUCAAAAACACUCAAAAACUCCAUAGUGUUACUCUCUCCACCACCACCUCCGUACAAUACUCUCAACAUCUCUCUAAUUGUUUUUUUUUUAAUUCCAAAAAUAUUUUUUUUACUUUUACUUUAUUAACUUUUUCUCAAAACUCUAAUUUUUUCUCUCUUAUUCACUCAACCACACAUCACACCCUAACUCCCACACUCUUACUUUUUCUCUUCUCUUAUUCUACUCUUUCUCUUUCUCUAAUUUCCAUCUUCGUCUUUUCCAAUUUCUCAUUUUCGUCAAGGUUUGUUCUUUUCUUCUUUGCUUGGUUCGUGAUGGUGCUUGAUUGGUGGUGUGUUUGUAUUACUACCUGAUUCAUGAUGGAUUCGUGGUAUUGUGAAGUUUAAUGUUUUUUUUUGUUGUUAUUUCCGAUUUAGGUUGAUGAUUUUAUAUACUCUCAGUUGUGUGUUAAUUGAGGAAGAAGAGGCAACGAAUAUAGAACAUCCAAUGUGUUUUUUUUUUUUUACAUUUUAGUUUAUUAAUUUAUUGUUUUUUAAAUUAAAUUAUAGAUAAUUUUUAAAUUAAAUCAAUUUAAUUAUAGUUACGUACUUUAUAUUUUUUAAUUUAUAUUUGUUAAAUGAUAGUUUUUAAAUUAUAGUUUUUACAAAUUAUAG